CUCCCAGUGAUAAAACCCUGGUAAUGGCGUCUAAAGAGAAGAAGGAAAACAUAAGAAUGGGCAAACAGACGGCAACAGUGUACGCAGCAAAGAUAAAGACUAAAAUACACAGUAAGAAAUGCUAAACAGAUUCAGUUGUCUGCAUUACUGAUGUAGCUCGUGCUCUUAUGUGUUAGGAGGUGACCAUUGACAAUAACUGGACCUUUAUUAUCUCUUAGAUACCUCAUCAUUCUUCAAGCUUUCUUUGAAAGGCAACAACAAGGCUCUGGCUCUGGCUCUUGUCGCUCAGAAGCAGAAGAGCAGAGAGCUGGAGGCAGAGGUGGUGCGUCUGAGGAAAGAUGCGCAGACAACUCAUUUUGAUCUCGCGCAUCAGCGUCAUAAAAACAAACAACUGUUUGGAAUUAUACGAGAGUUUUUAUGACUCUUCCCUAAACUGGAUGACAAAGGCAGUUGACAUCUUUUGUAAUGAUGAGGAUCCAGACAGUAUGGACUUGGAUCACAACACCAGUGAAGACCAAAUCAUUGAAAUGGGAGAAGUUGAGAGUUUGCAAAACAGACCUUUGUGUCCACAGCAGGAUCAUGUUCAGUCUGAACCAGUGAAUUCAGCCGGUGAUGCUCCCAGCCAAGAGAGAGAUAGUCCAGCACAGCAAAACACCAUAUAUGACUCUGAAAUGGAGAUGACCGUUAGUGACAGUGCUGCUGAAAUAGUAACAGUUGAAACAAAUACCAGAAAAACCUCUAGAGUUACAGAAGAACACCAGGAAAAGAAGGAUUUGUGUCUAUCAGAAAAAGGUAGUGAGUUUAUAUCUGCGAAGGAAGACUCACCAGUUGAAUUUAAUAGAUUAGAAUGUACAUCAGCUGUGCCAAAAGAGAUGACCGCUGUCACACAGCAGUGCUCUCCCACUGUUCAGAGCGAGGUGGAGAAUGAGCAGCAAAUGGAUUCAAUAACUGCACGCAGGAAGACUCAUGUCACCUCUCGUUGUACUAAAAGUAGCAGACGCACAUGUAAACUGAAAGAAUCAAACCCAGAUCCAAGAAAAACGUAUUCGAUCUCCCAAGAUCCUCCUAAUGACAUUUUUAAUGAUUGUUUUAGUGAUCCUGAGCUUCAGAAUUUUGAAAGAAGCAAUGCAAUUCCUUCACAUGGAAAUAUUUCAAAUAAAGCUGCUAAAAGCAAAGCUAAAGAGUCCCAUGCUACCCGGGAAACCAGGAGAACAAUUAUAGAUCAAGUUGAGCUGAGACCUCAGAAGAGCAGGAAGACCAAAGUCUUGUCCCUUACGAUAGAUCACAGUUUAUCAGAUAUGCAUGAAAAUGUUCAGUCUGCCGGUACUUUAUGCCCAGAGGCUGCUUGUACGGAUGUCCAUGUCGGUGAGACUGCAGUUCAGAAACAUAAAAACAAAACUCCAGCACACCCUCUUCCUCAGUCUGAAAAGUGUCAAGACACAGAAAAACAGAGGAACAUUUGUGAUACAGGCAAGUCAAUCAUUAAUCAACAGGAAUUCAUUUUUGAAUGA
rnacentral:lncRNA from 1 species